rnacentral:lncRNA from 1 species
UUGAACUUAGAGUGUGUGGAUAUGCUUGUGAAAUUGUAAAAUUUUAAUUGUUAAUUAUGGUUGGUUUAAUGAUACAGCUAAAGAGAACGGGCUUAUGGAAGAUGGAUUAUCAGAGAUAUCUGAUGAUGCGAAAGUUGUAGAAAUUUCUGAGAAAGGUAGUAUGCUUAAUGUUUCUGAGGUGGGCGUUGAAAGUAGUGUGGGAAUCGAACAUAAUAGAGCAAAUGAGAGAAAUGAUAUCGACGGAAUGGUUUUAAAUGGUAGUCCCAAAAGAGGAACAGAAAAUAAGGAAGUACCAUUCAAUUUCCUUGCGAAUAGAAAAGAAGGAGAAAGAACUAGAAGAGCAGAUUAUUUUGAUGAUGAGUACAGCUCUUCUGCAGAGGGUAUGAUUAAUGAUAGGAAUCAGGGUAAAGAGAGUGGCAUGGACAUGAAAAAGCCAGUAUAUUCGAAUUUUCAUAGUGAAAAUGAGCUUGAUGAAAUUGGGCCUCCAAUGAGAUCAUUGAGAUCUAGGCCUGCUCUGGACACGUGGGGCGUGGAAAGAAAUCAAUCGGUGGCUUCUUCAGCAAAUGCCAGAAUUGUAGCCCCACAUGGGAGGUUUGAUAGUUCUCUGUAUCGUGGUGAGAGACCGUCGAGCUAUGACAUGGACUCUUAUUAUAGAUAUGGUGAGAGGAUGAGAUAUCGGGAUCAUGAUGUGGAUGGGCUUACUAGAGUUGAAAAUUUAGAGAAUGAUCGAGCUGAGCUUCUAAGGAAACUUGAUGAAUUGAAGGAUCAACUAACUAGAUCUUGUGAUUUAGCAGAAAAACCUAAUGAUAGACUUGGUACUGAUAGAAGGAUGCCUCCAACUCCACCCAAUCCAUAUGGUAGACAUCAUGCUGAUUACGUGCAAGAUGGCUUGGCUAGUUUGCAUGGUGUUAAUCAGCAACCCCUUGGUCCCAAUGAUUUGAAAACCCUGUAUUCAAGUUACGAUCGUGGACGCAUUCCUCACAUGGAUAAAUUUGGUUCAACAAUGCAAGACUCGUAUCCUCAAAGGAACUUCCCACCCGAGUUCUUGGGUUAUGGUGAUGUUUAUCAACCAGAAAUGCUCCGUAGGCCUACUAGUCAGCUGCCAUCUAAAUUUUUGCAACAGCCAUCUCAUGAGAACCGUCCAGGUCACUACAUGGAUAUCAAUCGCAACCUUUUCGCGUCACAUCCACAUGAAACCUUUUUUCACCAGCCUGCAUGUUCUUGUGUGCAAUGCUUUAACAAUAACUGGCAUUUGCCUCCAAAAAUUCAUCAAAGGUCUCUAGACGACCCCAAUCUUCUAUACUAUCCGAAUCCUGUUUUGCAACGUCACCAAGGUUAUAGAUCUGAGGGGUCCAAUUCUCAUCAAAUGCACUCUCGACAGCCCCUAACAAUGAGUUCAAAUGAUGCUGAUUUAGAAAAUGGCGGUUUAAUAUACCACCGUCCUAAAAAGUCAGUGGUAGCUCAUGGGAGUGGACGAACAUGCUUUCCCAUUGCAGGGGGUGCCCCUUUCAUAAUAUGCUGUAACUGCUUUGAGUUACUGAAACUGCAGAGAAAGCACAUCUCAAUGGUAAAUAACCAACAGAAAAUAAAAUGUGGAGCUUGUUCUUCGAUAAUCUUGUUUGAGCUUGGGAACAAUGGGAUUAUUAUUUCAAUUCUUCCAAACAUUGAUCAAGUUCAAAUUGAGACCGACAAUGGUUCUACUGGGACACUUGAUGAAAAUUUAAAUUAUUUGCAUGGCAAUUGUGGUGAAAAUGCUGUUGAUAUGGACCCCUGUUCUACAAUAUGCUUUCUCUUGUAUUUUUUUGUUGAUGGAAUGACACAUAGAAUGAAAAGUUGCAUGAAUUGGGGACCAUAAUCUUAUAUAUAGUUUUCAUAUGUAUUUUGUUUAUUAUGAAAUACAAUUCUAAAGGAAUAUGGUCUAUGCACAUAUAAUUCGGCCCCCACUUUAUUUAGAUGCCAUUAGGCUUCAACCCAUCAUUUUAAUUCUUUGUUAGAUCACUUUAAUUUUUUACUUAACUUUACGAUAACUCAAUUAAUUACAUAUGUAGUCCUACCGGACAAAUUAAAAUUUUCCCAGCAUAUGAUUGUUUGAAUAGAAAUUGUAUGUGGGCUUGAGUGAAAUUUGAAGUCUUGUUAUGGUAGCUUCUGAUGGUAAAGCUAAAAAAGAAGGGGAUAUUGUAUUACAUUACGAUAUGAUUGUGUAUGUACUCAACAUGUAAAAUAUGAUGGUCCGAAAGUAAUUAAUCACAUUUAUGAACAGAACAUUUCAAAAUGAUAAUCAAAAACAUAAUUUUUGUAAGGUUUGAACUUAGAGUGUGUGGAUAUGCUUGUGAAAUUGUAAAAUUUUAAUUGUUAAUUAUGGUUGGUUUAAUGAUACAGCUAAAGAGAACGGGCUUAUGGAAGAUGGAUUGUCAGAGAUAUCUGAUGAUGUGAAAGUUGUAGAAAUUUCUGAGAAAGGUAGUAUGCUUAAUGUUUCUGAGGUGGGCGUUGAAAGUAGUGUGGGAAUCGAACAUAAUAGAGCAAAUGAGAGAAAUGAUAUCGACGGAAUGGUUUUAAAUGGUAGUCCCAAAAGAGGAACAGAAAAUAAGGAAGUACCAUUCAAUUUCCUUGCGAAUAGAAAAGAAGGAGAAAGAACUAGAAGAGCAGAUUAUUUUGAUGAUGAGUACAGCUCUUCUGCAGAGGGUAUGAUUAAUGAUAGGAAUCAGGGUAAAGAGAGUGGCAUGGACAUGAAAAAGCCAGUAUAUUCGAAUUUUCAUAGUGAAAAUGAGCUUGAUGAAAUUGGGCCUCCAAUGAGAUCAUUGAGAUCUAGGCCUGCUCUGGACACGUGGGGCGUGGAAAGAAAUCAAUCGGUGGCUUCUUCAGCAAAUGCCAGAAUUGUAGCCCCACAUGGGAGGUUUGAUAGUUCUCUGUAUCGUGGUGAGAGACCGUCGAGCUAUGACAUGGACUCUUAUUAUAGAUAUGGUGAGAGGAUGAGAUAUCGGGAUCAUGAUGUGGAUGGGCUUACUAGAGUUGAAAAUUUAGAGAAUGAUCGAGCUGAGCUUCUAAGGAAACUUGAUGAAUUGAAGGAUCAACUAACUAGAUCUUGUGAUUUAGCAGAAAAACCUAAUGAUAGACUUGGUACUGAUAGAAGGAUGCCUCCAACUCCACCCAAUCCAUAUGGUAGACAUCAUGCUGAUUACGUGCAAGAUGGCUUGGCUAGUUUGCAUGGUGUUAAUCAGCAACCCCUUGGUCCCAAUGAUUUGAAAACCCUG